UGGAGGAGUUGGCAGGAUGAGGAGAAUUCAGCUAAGAGAAGAAGAUGAAGGAAGAGGCAGAAGGAACAGCAUAAGCAGAGGCUUAGGGGUAGAAGAGAGAGGGGUGUCCCCGAGGAAAUGAGCAGCAGAAAUGAGUGUGGUCUGUGUACAACAUUCACCAUCUGGGCAUGCACAGGAGAAAUCUGCAGAACACCAGGCCAGUUAAACUGUGUACUUUGAAUUCUCAUGAGGGCCCCAAUUAAUUCCUGAAAACUUGCCCCCAGAAACUCCAUCUCACUGGCUUCAUGAAUUUUCCUCUCUGAGAUAUUUUGGACAAGCAACACAAAGAACCCCUCCUGUGGAGCUGUGUAGAAAGAGCUGCCAGCAACAGCUGAACUCAACCAAGCAGCUCAGAACAGCCUGUUGGAUGGUGCAGAAAGAGAAGCAAGUGAAUCAAGUCCGAGAGCAGGGAAUCCUCCAGGGGAAUUGGCGGAUUGUCAACUAUAAGGGCCUCCAAAGGUCCACUGCAUCACCCCUUCUCCAGGAAGGCUGCACACACCUGGUUGGAGGGAGGGGGAUCUUUGCAUGGGAGCCUGAGACUGACACAUACUAUUAAAAAGUUCUUCCCAGGCCCAUCCUUUCUGGGUGGCUUUGAGCAUGGACUGGAACCAGAUGACCUGGGUUGCAAACACAGAUCUGACACUUCCUUGCUUUAUGACUUUAGUCAAAGAACUUAACCUGUCUGCACUUCUGUUUCCAUACUUAUAAAAUGGGGAUAAAAGAAUAUUUGCUUCA